rnacentral:rRNA from 1 species
CACGAACUGCGCGAACGUUAUUCGGAAUCACUGGGCUUAAAGAGUCCGUAGGCGGCUCGGUAGGUGGGGUGUGAAAGCCCACGGCUCAACCGUGGAAUUGCGCUCCAAACCAUCGGGCUCGAGGGAGAUAGAGGAGAGCGGAACUGAUGGUGGAGCGGUGAAAUGCGUUGAUAUCAUCAGGAACACCGGUGGCGAAAGCGGCUCUCUGGGUCUCUUCUGACGCUGAGGGACGAAAGCUAGGGGAGCGAACGGGAUUAGAUACCCCGGUAGUCC